rnacentral:rRNA from 1 species
GACAGAGGUGCCAAGCGUUAGGCGGAAUCACUGGGCUUAAAGCGCGUGUAGGUGGCGGCCUAAGUACCUUGUGAAAUCCUGCGGCUCAACCGCAGAGCUGCUCGGUAUACUGGGGUCACUUGAGCCAUCCAGGGGGCAACUGGAACAAGCGGUGGAGCGGUGAAAAUGCGUAGAUAUCUGGAGGAACACCGGUGGCGAAGGCGGCAUCCUGGACCGGCAUUGACGCUGAGGAGCGAAAGCCAGGGGGAGCAAAACGGG